rnacentral:tRNA from 1 species
UAUAAAGUAAACUAAUGGUAAGUUAUUAGGCUCAUAACCUAAAUACAAGAGUUCGAUUCUCUUCUUUAUAA